UAUUUUCCAAUAAUGAAAUUUUAGGUUGGAGAAAGUUAGUGACAAUGGAGGCGAUUCUCAAUGGAAAGUGCGUAAUGCAAGUUCAGCUGUGAAUUCCGAUAUUGACUAUGAGAUUUAUGACUUUGAAACUUCAGAUAAUAACACCUUAGAGCAGCCCUCGGAGCAGCCGAUGAUCAUAGAUUACUUCGAAAAUGAACAGAUAGCACAAAAGAUUAAGGUAUCGUCAUCAACAGAAAAAAUACAGGAAGAACCGGAGCCGGAAAAAUCUAAUACAGUUUUCACAGACCUCACUAACUUAAAUUCUGAAGGUUUAGGUUUUUUACCCGAUGGCGAUGAACACCUGCAGAAUAGGGAAGUAUUAGAGAUCCUCUCACAGUCCAGUUAUACUUCUGAUCCUAAAGAAUCAUCGGACUGUUCAGUGUUCACUUAAGGAUCCGGAUUAUAGGGAUGAUUCUUCCUCUACGUCUUCUAGCUCAUCGUCAUCAGAAGAUUCAUCAUCUUCUGGCUCAUCAGAAGAAGAUGUUGAUGAUCCAGAUCAAGCCGUUGCCGAAGUAGAAAUAAAAAAGACUAGAAAAAGGAAAGCGAAACCAACUGAAUGGAAAAAAGCGUGUGCUAAGCGGUUAAGAAAUAGCGGUCAGUCCUAUAAAACUCUUGGUAAAGAAAUAGAGGUGCCAAGGAGGCAAAUAAAGCCAGCUUGUAAUGACACAUGCUCCCACAAAUGCAGCAGCAAGUUUAACGAGGAAGAAAGAAUUACAAUAUUUAAUGCCUAUUGGAAAAUAAAAGAUAUCGUUAAACAGCGCAUAUUUAUAUCAACCCUUAUACAAGAGAUUAAUCCUAAAUAUAGGUAUACCCAUGAUGGUAAUGGCAGGACGACCA